UUCAGAGUUUGAUUAUGGCUCAGGACGAACGCUGGCGGCGUGCUUAACACAUGCAAGUCGAACGCUGAAGCAUCUUCGGGUGUGGAUGAGUGGCGAACGGGUGAGUAACACGUGGGUAAUCUGCCCUGCACUCUGGGAUAAGCCUUGGAAACGAGGUCUAAUACCGGAUAUGACUUCCUUGGGCAUCCAGGGAAGUGGAAAGUUCUGGCGGUGCAGGAUGAACCCGCGGCCUAUCAGCUUGUUGGUGGGGUAGUGGCCUACCAAGGCGACGACGGGUAGCCGGCCUGAGAGGGUGACCGGCCACACUGGGACUGAGACACGGCCCAGACUCCUACGGGAGGCAGCAGUGGGGAAUAUUGCACAAUGGGCGCAAGCCUGAUGCAGCGACGCCGCGUGAGGGAUGACGGCCUUCGGGUUGUAAACCUCUUUCGCCAGGGACGAAGCGCAAGUGACGGUACCUGGAUAAGAAGCACCGGCUAACUACGUGCCAGCAGCCGCGGUAAUACGUAGGGUGCGAGCGUUGUCCGGAUUUAUUGGGCGUAAAGAGCUCGUAGGCGGUUUGUCGCGUCGGCCGUGAAAUCUCCACGCUUAACGUGGAGCGUGCGGUCGAUACGGGCAGACUUGAGUUCGGUAGGGGAGACUGGAAUUCCUGGUGUAGCGGUGAAAUGCGCAGAUAUCAGGAGGAACACCGGUGGCGAAGGCGGGUCUCUGGGCCGAUACUGACGCUGAGGAGCGAAAGCGUGGGGAGCGAACAGGAUUAGAUACCCUGGUAGUCCACGCUGUAAACGUUGGGCGCUAGGUGUGGGUGACAUUCCACGUUGUCCGUGCCGUAGCUAACGCAUAAGCGCCCCGCCUGGG
rnacentral:rRNA from 1 species